AGUGUCUCAGUGACAGAAAUAACUCAAAAGCUAUACCUUUAGCUGUGCUGGCAAUCGAAUGUAUAUAAUCGUAACCGUUAGUUAUUACCGUAGCUAGCAGAUCUCUUUAGUAAGCAGUAACUGGUAGUUCUCAUAAUCCAUCCCAUAGAUUACUUCCCCAAUGUGUGUUCCAAGGGCUUUACCUGUUAGAAUUGAUGCUUGUUUCUACUAAGUGUUGCACUUGUUUCUACUAAGUUUUAACUGUGAAUCUGUUGUUUCACAUAUACUAUAUACAACUGAUGCCUUGAAGAAGUCAGCUCCCCUUGGAUGGUGCAGUGUAGCAAAUAAAUGUUGAUUCAUUCAUUCUUUGAUGUUGGCUUUCAUUCUUCCAAAGUUGGGUGUACAUGAGCUCUAGGAAGAAUCCCGAAGAUAAACCACACCCAGCAAUGUGUUUUAGCUCACUAGAGAUAGUUAUGCUUGCAGCUAGUUAUGUGUAUAUUUAGUUAUAUUUUAUAGCUGAAUACCAGAAUUGUACUAUGUUUGGCUGUUGUAUGAAAUAUUAUGCCUUAUUGGCUCUUUUUGAAUCAAAUUAUCUAAUUGCACAAAUA